GAUACGACGCGACGCGAGUCAACUUCUUCGUAAACUACGAAAAAUCGUCCAAAAUUGCAGUGAUCACGCUUAAUGUCUCGCAGCACUCGACACGAUCGUGUCUCUAGGUAUAACGUGACGACAUACAGAGUGCCUUGCCCCGUGCCCGCCGGGUCGAGCCUCGCCGCGGGAAUAACAAGAAAAAUCGUAAUCGAGGACUCGCGGCGAGCUCGUCGAAGAAGCAAGAAACCGGCCCUGUGAUCGAAGAUGGUCGGUCGGUACCGGUCCGGAAUCCAUUCAGCUGGUGGAUGGCGG